UGUACAGGUGGUGCAUGGUUGUCGUCAGCUCGUGUCGUGAGAUGUUGGGUUAAGUCCCGCAACGAGCGCAACCCUCGUUCUAUGUUGCCAGCGGGUUAUGCCGGGGACUCAUAGGAGACUGCCGGGGUCAACUCGGAGGAAGGUGGGGAUGACGUCAAAUCAUCAUGCCCCUUAUGUCUUGGGCUUCACGCAUGCUACAAUGGCCGGUACAAAGGGCUGCGAUACCGUAAGGUGGAGCGAAUCCCAAAAAGCCGGUCUCAGUUCGGAUUGAGGUCUGCACUCGACCUCAUGAAGUCGGAGUCGCUAGUAAUCGCAGAUCAGCAACGCUGCGGUGAAUACGUUCCCGGGUCUUGUACACACCG
rnacentral:rRNA from 1 species